rnacentral:rRNA from 1 species
GUGCCAGCCGCCGCGGUAAUACAGAGGGUGCGAGCGUUAAUCGGAAUUACUGGGCGUAAAGCGCACGUAGGCGGCUAUGUAAGUCAGGUGUGAAAUCCCCGGGCUCAACCUGGGAACUGCACUUGAGACUGCAUGGCUAGAGUAUGGGAGAGGAAGGCGGAAUUCCCGGUGUAGCGGUGAAAUGCGUAGAUAUCGGGAGGAACAUCAGUGGCGAAGGCGGCCUUCUGGCCCAAUACUGACGCUCAGGUGCGAAAGCGUGGGGAGCAAACAGGAUUAGAAACCCCGGUAGUCC